rnacentral:lncRNA from 1 species
ACAGCCCUCAUAGCAAGAGCCAGCAUUUGAAGAAUCAUGUUCGAUUAGCAUGCUAACAUCCUUUUUCCUGCGUAUGCCCACUACGGGCAUCUGCAGCGAUCACUGAAAUUGCUUAGUACAAGCUUAUAUUGUAAUACUUAUUAAAAAUUAUCUUCGAUAACUAUCCUUAAUAACCAUUAUAGAAGUUGUGCAAACAGGUGAUAUAUCACUCAGGAAGCAGAAACACCAUUCCCCAA